GAUGGUGCUGUUCUUUGGCAGUGGAUUUGCCUUCCCAUUCAUUGUUGUCAGGCAUCAGAUCCUGAAGAAGUGAAGCUCCUACCAGUCACACAUUGUCAGUGUGAUUCUUGUGCAACGCAGCUCUCAGUUUCUUCUGGUGUGGAUCCUGUAAUGUUAUUGUAAAUAAAAUGACCAAUUACA